rnacentral:tRNA from 1 species
GUAUAUAAAGCUCAGUGGUAGAGACUGUGUGCUUAGCAUGCACAAGGUCCUGGGUUCAAUCCCCAGUACCUCCA